rnacentral:lncRNA from 1 species
CGUCCGAUCACCAUGUCGUCACCGUCGUCGGAAGAAACAGACUCUGAAUCUCCGAUCACCAUGUCGUCGUCGUCGACGUCCUCAUCGGAGAAGAAGGAAACUCUGUUGUUUCAUGUGGAGCUGAACGAAGUCCGUCUUCUGCAGAAGGCCUUGAGACCCCUGUAUGAGACCGCCUACUUCCCGGACGACAUGUCCCUCGCCGGAAAGAUCCGCGACUCCGGCCACUUCUGCAUAUCUCCGGACGGGGUUCUUAUCGCCUCCACAACCUCUUUCCCGCCUCAUCUUGACGCCUAUCUCGAACUGCCGCGUGCGACCUUCGCCGCCCUUCGCUGCCACAAGGACCAUGUGCUCCGCCUCAACCUCCGCCUCUUGGAGGACCGAAUCGCCGCCACCACCGUCAACGG